GGAGAGGUGUCCGAGUUGGCCGAAGGAGCGCGACUGGAAAUCGCGUAGGCGGUGAAGAACCGCCUCGUGGGUUCGAAUCCCACCCUCUCCG
rnacentral:tRNA from 1 species